UACGGAGGGGGCGAGCGUUGUUCGGAAUUACUGGGCGUAAAGGGCGCGUAGGCGGCCGAUCAAGUCAGCUGUGAAAGUCCUGGGCUUAACCUGGGGACUGCAUUUGAUACUGAUUGGCUUGAAUGCAGGAGAGGAUAGCGGAAUUCCCAGUGUAGAGGUGAAAUUCGUAGAUAUUGGGAAGAACACCGGUGGCGAAGGCGCCUAGCUGGACUGUGAUUGACGCUGAGGCGCGAAAGCGUGGGGAGCAAACAGG
rnacentral:rRNA from 1 species